rnacentral:rRNA from 1 species
GGGAAAUUUGGUCAUGGGGCGGAAGCCUGAACCAGCCAUGCCGCGUGAAGGACUAAGGCCCUACGGGUCGUAAACUUCUUUAGACGCAGAGCAAUAAGGUCCACGUGUGGACCGAUGAGAGUAUGCGUAGAAUAAGCAUCGGCUAACUCCGUGCCAGCAGCCGCGGUAAUACGGGGGAUGCGAGCGUUAUCCGGAUUCAUUGGGUUUAAAGGGUGCGUAGGCGGCCGAGUAAGUCAGCGGUGAAAGACCGGGGCUCAACCCUGGAAGUGCCGUUGAUACUGUUUGGCUGGAAUGAUCCCGCCGCGGGAGGAAUGAGUGGUGUAGCGGUGAAAUGCAUAGAUAUCACUCAGAACACCGAUUGCGAAGGCACCUCGCGAGGGGUCAAUUGACGCUGAGGCACGAAAGCGUGGGGAUCGAACAGGAUUAGAUACCCUGGUAGUCCACGCAGUAAACGAUGAUGGCUAACUGUCGGGCCUACGGGUUCGGCGGCCAAGCGAAAGCGAUAAGCCAUCCACCUGGGGAGUACGACCGCAAGGUUGAAACUCAAAGGAAUUGACGGGGGCCCGCACAAGCGGAGGAACAUGUGGUUUAAUUCGAUGAUACGCGAGGAACCUUACCCAGGCUCGAACGGCAGCUGAUUUGAGUAGA